GGCGGGGCUUUUGUCUCUCGCUGCAGCCAGAGCUUGGGAUCCCUUUCUGCUAUUCAACGUCCUCCACCUCGGCCCCCCUCUCCCCCCAGCCGGUGACAGGCUGUUGCCCUGUGAUCUGCAGGUCCUGGGACGUGCACAGCUAAGAUGCCAGGACAUUCUAGAAGGUGGGAAAGGCACCUGAGUAAUUUGACUCUCCUGCCUGGACCCAGUGUACAGAUGGGAUUGUGCUUCAUUGCUGGACCCAGCAUUUAGGGGUCAUCACUCCCGUGGAUGAUCAAAGCUACUCCGGGGGCUGAGGCAGGAGAAUCGCUUGAACUCGGGAAGCAGAAGUUGCAGUGAGCCAAGGUCGCACCACUGCACUCCAGCCCAGGCGACAUUGUGAGACUCCAUCUCAAAAAAAAAAGAAAAAAAGUGUACUAACAAGACCCAGCACACAGAGGAGACUUUUACCAUUAUAUGAACACCCAUCAAACAGUACACAUCAUCAUUGUGAGUUCUGAAUCUCACACAUAGAGGAAGUCAAAGGUGGAAAAAUUGACUCUCAUAUUUGGAUCCAGUCCACAGGUGUGAUUUUGACGCACACUUCUGCCCAGCACCUGAGUAAUGUGAUUCUUCAGAAUUGGCCCGGCCCACAAAUAGGAUUGUGCCACACUGCUGCACCCAGCGCCUAAGUGAUGUAACUCUAUUCUUCUGCCUUGGUGCUACUCGAAAAAGACAUUGUAACAUAUCUCAGAGCCUUACACCCAGGUAAUGUGAGUCUCCUCUUCUGCCUUGCUGCUGCACACAGAAGCAGAAUAGGUACAGGAUUGUUAAUCUCAUCUUGGAUCUUUCUGCACAUGUGAUUGUGACACAUGCCUCUGUGUAGAACCUGAGUGAGUUUACUCUCCUGCCUGGAUUUAACCCAUAGAUGGAAUCGUGACAUAUCACUGUACCAGAAACUAGGUGAUGUGACUCUAUUUUCUUGCCUCUGUGUUUUUAUAUGGGGCAUCGUGACAUAUCACUGGGCCUUGCACCCAAGUGAUGGGAGUUUUCUCUCCUGCUUUGGUGCCGUCCACAAUGAAAAUUGUGAAAUAUUGCUGCCCUCCCCACUAGGUUAUGUUACUCUCCUGCCUCUGCUUUGCCCACAUGGGUCACUGUGACAUAUUGCUGGGUCUAAAACCCAGGUAAUGUCACUCUCUUGUUUGGGUUCUGCCUGCAGGAGCCAUUGUCACAUAUCUCUGUGCUCAUCACCCAGGUAAUAUGACUCCCUUUUACUGCUUAGUUCCUUCUCACAAAACAACUUGUGACAUAUUGCUAGGCCCAAUACACCUACUUGGUGUAACUCUUCUUUUCUUUUCUUUCCUUUUUUUUUUUUUUUUUUUCGAGAUGGAGUCUCACUCUGUUGCCCAGGCUGGAGUGCAGCGGCAUGAUUUCAGCUCACUACAGCCUCUGCCUCCUAGGUUGAAGCGAUUGUCCUGACUUAGCCUCCCAAGUAGCUGGGAUUAAAGGCAUGUGCCACCACGCCCGGCUAAUUUUUGUAUUUAUAGUAGAGACAGUGUUUCGCCAUGUUGGCUAGGCUGGUUUCAAACUUCUAACCUCAGGUGAUCCUCCUGCCUCGGCCUCCCAAAGUACUGGAAUUACAGGCAUGAGCCACUGCACCUGGCCUGAUUCUUCUCUUCUUUCUAGGUUUCAACUGCAGCAGAGAUUGUAACAAACCACUGGGCCCAGCCGCAUAAUGGUGUUACUCUUUUGCCUUGGGCCUGCCCUCAGAAGGCACUGUCACAUAUUCAUGGGCCCAACGCCAAGGUGAUAUGUGUCUCCAGCCUGGACCCUGCCCACAGGGGGCAUUGUGACAUAUCUCUUGGCCCAUCAGAUGUUUGAUGUUAUCCCCUCCCCUCUUCUACCCUGUGUUUGCCUAUAAAAGACACAGUCAUAUGUUCCUGGGCCCAGCACCUAGGUGUUGUCUUACUGGAAUGUGUCCACAUGGGGAUUGUGAUAUGUCACGUGGCCCAGUACUUAACUUGAUGUGACUCUCCUCUCAUGCCUAGGCCUUGUAGAGAAUCCCCUUCCCCUUUUGUUUUCCUUUUUUUCUUUGCAGAUCCAGGAGAUAAUCAACUAAGAGCCAGGCACCCGUUUAGGUCUAAUAAGAAACAUUUUACAAACUGCUCUCUCUUUUAAUUCACCUAUCUGAGAGAUUCCUCUGUACAAUAAAACUUGGUCUCCACAAUCCUUUACCUUAACCUAAACCUUCCCUUUCAUUGAUCCCAGGUCUUCAGAUUCCACCAUUUGUCAACCACAAAAUAUUUAAAUUUACCUGGAAGCCGCCCGCUUUGAGUUGUCCCGCCUUUCUGAACCAAACCAAUAUAUUCCUGCAAAACCGGCCAUGAUUAAAACAUCAAAAAA
rnacentral:lncRNA from 1 species